rnacentral:lncRNA from 1 species
CUGAUAUAGGUAUAUGUCUGUCAUAUUGAGGUAUGUAGCUAUAAGUUAAACCUGAUCAAUAAAAUGGAUAGGUGUAAACAAUUAUGGUAAUUCCAAAUGCCCUUAACUAGGUAACUUUGCUAGACAAGCACAGAGAGAGAGGGGGGGUGGAGAAAGAGAGGAAGAAUGUGAGAAAGAAAGGAUGAAGUGAGAGAGGGAGAAAGAGAUGGGGGAAGAGUGGAAGACGGAGAGAGAUGGAAAGCGAGAAACAGAGAAAGAAAGACAGCAGUGCAAAUGUACUCGUCUCUUCCAACUUGUUAGGCAAUCGCAUGUACCUACGGGGGAAGGAUUGGCAGCCACACAGGAGGGUGAUUUUUACUAAGGAGGAGAAGGAGGCCGUGCUGACAGAGAUGCAUGCUGGCCAUUUCGGAGUAAAGCGCAUCUUUGCCAAAAUCAACCUACGCAUCUUCUGAUGGGGAAAUGUCAAGGAGGUGGACAGCUGGGCAACCUACGUUAGCUCAACCGUCCCGUGGAUGGGACACUGAUCCCGAAGAAGUUUAAAGCUCAGUACCCUGUCUAGCCUGCCAGAAGUUUGAGAAGGUGAAGACUGUGGCGCCGGAGUUGAAUCCCAUCAAAGUUGUUUCCCCAUGUCACAUGAUCGGGUUGGACCUCAUCGAGCCCUUCACAAAAUCCAGGAAUGGCAAAAGCUGGUGUCUGACAGCGACCAAUCAUUUUACCAAAUGGGUGGAGGCAAUACCCAUUAAGGUCAGCAAAGGAAGAGAACGUGCUUAACGCUAAAUUCCCUUCUGUAACCCAUUUAAAAAGGGUGCUUGGAACCCCAACAUCAUUUUUGUUUUGUAUGAUACCCAUCAAGGACUAAACUGGCGAGGUCACCUCCAAGGUGAUAAUGGUCAUCUUCAUUUUUACUUUUAGCAGACGCUCUUAUCCAGAGCGACUUACAGUAGUGAAAGCAUACAUUCCAUUUCAUGCAUUUGUUUUUUGUACUGGCCCCCCGUGGGAAUCGAACCCACAACCCUGGCAUUGCACACACCAUGCUGGCGUUGCAAACACCAUGCUCUACCUACUGAGCCACAGGGAAGGCAACACCCACAGUUCUCUUGAGGUCAUCUUGAGUGACCGAGGUCAUGAACACUGGAACAAGGUUUGGUGA